rnacentral:rRNA from 1 species
GGAAUCUUGCACAAUGGAGGAAACUCUGAUGCAGCGAUGCCGCGUGAGUGAAGAAGGCCUUUGGGUUGUAAAGCUCUUUUGUAGGGGAAGAUAAUGACUGUACCCUAAGAAUAAGGUCCGGCUAACUUCGUGCCAGCAGCCGCGGUAAUACGAAGGGACCUAGCGUAGUUCGGAAUUACUGGGCGUAAAGCGCGCGUAGGCCGUUGAGUUAGUUAAUUGUGAAAUCCCAAAGCUUAACUUUGGAACUGCAAUUAAAACUGCUCGACUAGAGUUUGAUAAAGGAAAGCGGAAUACAUAGUGUAGAGGUGAAAUUCGUAGAUAUUAUGUAGAACACCAGUUGCGAAGGCGGCUUUCUGGAUCAACACUGACGCUGAGGCGCGAAAGUAUGGGUAGCAAAGAGGAUUAGAUACCCUCGUAGUCCAUACCAUAAACGAUGAUUGCUAGAUGUUGGAAAUUUAUUUUCAGUAUCGCAGCUAACGCAUUAAGCAAUCCGCCUGGGGAGUACGACCGCAAGGUUAAAACUCAAAUGAAUUGACGG